UUUCAAAAAACAAAUUAAAAUACUAUUUUUAAAAAGGUAUUUCGAGUACAAUGGCUACAUACAACAGCCUCCUGGGUAGUGUAUGCUGCCUAUUUCUUAUAUAGGUUGCUCUAAGGAACCCAGGAGAUUAAA